rnacentral:pre_miRNA from 1 species
GGUCUUCCACCGUAAGAUAUUGGUGCUUGUGGUCUUCCACCUAUAUGUUAGGGUGGAAGACCACAAGCACCAAUAUGUUAGGGUGGAAGACCACAAGCACCAAUAUCUUACGGUGGAAGACC